CUCCCCCAUCCCCUUGACUCUCCCCUCCCAGCCCUUGCUCUCUAGCUCGCCUUUAGCGGGGCCCCCGCCAUAACGGAGGCGGGUGCCGGUGCCCUUGCCGCCGCUGCCGUCGCAGGGGGAGAGUCGGGUUCCCAGAAAGUAGCUUGAUGAGUGUCCAAAGUAGCAGUGGAAGUUUGGAGGGGCCGCCAUCUUGGUCCCAGCGCUCCACGUCUCCAACCCCGGGCUCGGCGGCGGCGGCGGCCAGGUCCCCGCUGAAUCGCACGCGGCCAUCCGGGAGGCCCAGGGAAGGUGCAGUGGAUGAGCUUCAUAGUCUGGAUCCAAGAAGGCAAGAGUUACUGGAAGCUAGAUUUUCUGGAGUUGCAAGUGGGAGCACUGGGAGUACGGGCAGUUGCAGUGUUGGAGCUAAAGCCUCAACAAAUAACGAAAGCUCUAAUCACAGUUUUGGAAGCUUGGGAUCUUUAAGUGACAAAGAAUCAGAGACACCAGAGAAGAAACAAUCAAUCAUCCAGGGGAAGAAAGAGAAAAGCAGAAAACCAGAAUGAAAGUAAUCAGGGAAAAAGUAUUGGGGGACGUGGCCACAAAAUUAGCGACUAUUUUGAAUACCAGGGUGGAAAUGGCUCAAGUCCAGUAAGAGGCAUACCUCCUGCAAUCCGUUCUCCUCAAAAUUCACAUUCACGUUCCACUCCUUCCUCAUCUGUUCGACCCAACAGCCAUUCUCCUACUGCAUUAGCAUUUGGGGACCACCCUAUUGUACAACCAAAGCAGUUAUCCUUUAAAAUUAUUCAGACUGAUCUCACAAUGCUGAAAUUAGCAGCAUUAGAAAGUAAUAAAAUCCAGGACCUGGAAAAGAAGGAGGGACGUAUAGAUGAUUUGCUCAGGGCUAACUGUGAUCUCAGAUGGCAAAUAGAUGAACAACAAAAAUUACUUGAAAAAUUCAAAGAACGAUUAAGUAAGUGCAUAUCAAUGAGCAAGAAACUUCUUAUUGAAAAGAGUACACAAGAAAAAUUGUCAAGCAGAGAGAAGAGUAUGCAAGAUCGAUUACCCCUUGGGCACUUUACAACAGUUAGACAUGGCGCUUCAUUUACUGAACAAUAGACAGAUGGUUUUGCAUUUCAGAAUCUUGUGAAGCAACAAGAAUGAGUGAAUCAGCAAAGGGAAGAUAUUGAAAGGCAAAGGAAACUUUUAGCCAAACCCUAACCUCCCACAGCUAAUAAUUCUCAGGCACCCUCUACCAAUUCUGAGCCAAAAUAAAGGAAAAACAAAGCAGUCAAUGGAGCAAAGAAUGAUCCCUUUGUUAGACCAAAUUUACCACAACUAUUGACUUUGGCAGAAUAUCAUGAACAGGAAGAAAUUUUCAAACUUAGACUAGGACAUCUCAAAAAGGAAGAGGCAGAAAUCCAGGCAAAACUUGAACGUUUGGAAAGAGUCAGAAAUCACACACAUGAGCUGAAAAGAAUAAACAAUGAAGAUAAUUCACAGUUCAAAGAUCACCCAACAUUGAAUGAAAGAUAUUUAUUACUUCAUCUACUUGGUAGAGGUGGCUUUAGUGAAGUAUAUAAGGCUCUUGACCUUUAUGAACAAAGAUGUGCUGCUGUGAAGAUACAUCAGCUUAAUAAAAGCUGGAGAGAUGAGAAGAAAGAAAACUACCACAAACAUGCCUGCAGAGAGUACAGAAUACACAAAGAACUGGAUCACCCCUGAAUAGUUAAACUCUAUGAUUAUUUCUCCUUGGAUACAGAUACAUUUUGUAUAGUGUUAGAAUACUGUGAAGGCAAUGACUUGGAUUUCUAUCUGAAGCAACACAAGUUAAUGUCAGAGAAAGAAGCUAGGUCUAUUGUAAUGCAGAUUGUAAAUGUACCAAGAUAUCUCAAUGAGAUCAAACCCCCUAUUAUACAUUAUGAUCUUAAGCCAGGAAACAUCCAGCUGGUAGAUGGAUCAGCAUGUGGUGAAAUCAAAAUCACUGAUUUUGGUCUGCCCAGGAUUAUGGACAGUGAUAGCUAUGGUGUAGAUGGAAUGGAUCUAACUUCCCAGGGGGCAGGCACUUACUGGUAUUUACCUCCUGAGUAUUUUGUAGUUGGAAAAGAGCCACCAAAGAUUUCCAACAAGGUUGAUGUAUGGUCAGUUGGAGUCAUCUUCUUUCAGUGUCUUUAUGGUAGAAAGCCAUUUGGUCACAAUCAAUCUCAACGAGACAUUCUUCAAGAAAAUACAAUAUUAAAAGCCACAGAAGUUCAGUUCCCUGUAAAACCUGUUGUAAGCAGUGAAGCCAAGGCCUUUACAAGACGCUGUUAGGCAUAUCGAAAAGAAGAUCAAUUUGAUGUGCACCAGCUGGCAAAUGACCCAUACCUUCUCCCACAUAUGAGAAGAUCAAAUUCUUCAGGAAACCUACACAUGGCUGGGCUGACAGCAUCCCCUACACCCCCUUCUUCAAGCAUAAUUACUUACUGACUUUCCUCUAAGACUGGCAUGAUAUCUUUGAAUUGCUGUCAGAUGCACACUUGAGUUUCAGAGCAUUUGAGUGUUGUUUUUUUGUUUGUUUGUUUGUUUUUUACACAAGACAUGGUUAAGAACUGUUUGUGAACUGAAGUUCCUCAUAGUGUCAUUUGUAUGAGAGUGGAUCAUGGACAAUGAAUAAAUGCACACUUCUGACUAUAAUUUUGAGCAGUGAAGGAUGACCGCCUGUUACACAGAAACAGGAAUACCAUGUUAAGAUAAAAGAAAAAAAUUUUGUUUAUUUGGGGGAACACUGUAAAUAACGUUUAUAAUACUUAAAUACAUUUGGUUGUUACUAGAGAGUUCUAA